GUGAAUCAUCAAAUUUUUGAACGCAAAUUGCACUCUCCUCGGAGAGUAUGCCUGUUUGAGGGUCAGCCUAAAAAAAAUUAACAUAGUUGCUGUUUCGCGGUGACAUUCGUCGUAAAUUGGGUCAUCUUAAACCUUUGGGUUUUAAUCGGCUUAAAAUUUUCUUUACGAUUCUACGAACGUUUCUAAGAUUUACUUCUUACACGUUUAAGGUAUCGAUCUUUAUUAGACCUUGCCGUUGCAUCGGAUCACGUCCAUAAAUAUUUCGUUAACUGACCUCACACAUGUAAGAACACCCUCUGAA
rnacentral:misc_RNA from 1 species